rnacentral:tRNA from 2 species
UCCUUUGUAGUGUAAUGGCUAUCACGGUUCGCUCUCAUUUGAAGAAUUCAUUCGAAAGAUUGCGCCGAGCAGAUCCGGGUUCGAUUCCCGGCAAGGGAG